rnacentral:rRNA from 1 species
UGUAGGCUGAAACUCGCCUACAUGAAGCUGGAGUUACUAGUAAUCGCGAAUCAGAAUGUCGCGGUGAAUACGUUCCCGGGUCUUGUACACACCGCCCGUCACACCAUGAGAGUUGGCAAUACCCGAAGUCCGUGAGCUAACCGCAAGGAGGCAGCGGCCGAAGGUAGGGUCAGCGAUUGGGGUGAAGUCGUAACAAGGUAGCCGUAGGAGAACCUGCGGCUGGA